rnacentral:tRNA from 1 species
GCUGGUAUGGCUCAGUCGGUAGAGCACGUCAUUGGUAAUGACGAGGUCGCCGGUCCGAUUCCGGCUACCAGCUCCA